GGUAGGUGUUGCUUUCAUUGGAUACAACUUUGGACCAGGCCCCACAGGUCUCUUUGGACCAGGCCCCACAGGUCUCUUUGGACCAGGCCCCACAGGUCUCUUUGGACCAGGCCCCACAGGUCUCUUUGGACCAGGCCCCACAGGUCUCUUUGGACCAGGCCCCACAGGUCUCUUUGGACCAGGCCCCACAGGUCUCUUUGGACCAGGCCCCACAGGUCUCUUUGGACCAGGCCCCACAGGUCUCUUUGGACCAGGCCCCACAGGUCUCUUUGGACCAGGCCCCACAGGUCUCUUUGG